CGCGGCCUAUCAGCUUGUUGGUGAGGUAAUGGCUCACCAAGGCAUCGACGGGUAGCUGGUCUGAGAGGACGAUCAGCCACACUGGGACUGAGACACGGCCCAGACUCCUACGGGAGGCAGCAGUGGGGAAUCUUGCGCAAUGGGCGAAAGCCUGACGCAGCGAUGCCGCGUGGGGGAUGAAGGCUCUCGGGUCGUAAACCCCUUUCAGCAGGGACGAAAAUGACGGUACCUGCAGAAGAAGUCCCGGCCAACUACGUGCCAGCAGCCGCGGUAACACGUAGGGGGCAAGCGUUGUCCGGAUUUAUUGGGCGUAAAGGGCUCGUAGGCUGUUCAGUAAGUCAGGUGUGAAAACCCAAGGCUCAACCUUGGGACGCCACUUGAUACUGCUGUGACUAGAGUCCGGUAGAGGAGAUUGGAAUACCUGGUGUAGCGGUGAAAUGCGCAGAUAUCAGGAGGAACACCAACGGCGAAGGCAGAUCUCUGGGCCGGUACUGACGCUGAGGAGCGAAAGCAUGGGGAGCAAACAGGAUUAGAUACCCUGGUAGUCCAUGCCGUAAACGUUGGGCACUAGGUGUGGGGUCUAUUCAACGGAUUCCGUGCCGCAGCUAACGCAUUAAGUGCCCCGCCUGGGGAGUACGG
rnacentral:rRNA from 1 species